rnacentral:rRNA from 1 species
UACAGAGGGUGCGAGCGUUAAUCGGAAUUACUGGGCGUAAAGGGCGCGUAGGUGGGAGUCUAAGUCAGAUGUGAAAGCCCUGGGCUCAACCUAGGAACUGCAUUUGAUACUGGACUGUCUAGAGUGAGGUAGAGGGUGGCGGAAUUCCCGGUGUAGCGGUGAAAUGCGUAGAUAUCGGGAAGAACACCAGUGGCGAAGGCGGCCACCUGGACCUUAACUGACACUGAGGCGCGAAAGCGUGGGUAGCGAA